AGAAAAACAGAGCUAAGCCAAGGAAAUGAUUUCUUUCCCACCUACAAUGCAUGAAAAGAAAUUAACAUGAAAAGGGUCUGAGGAAGACAUUAAUAUUUUGAUAGUGGCAGAAGAAUGUUAUUUACAAAAAUAAUGACAAAUGUUGAAGAGAAAAUACAGGCUUCCUAGCAACUAGACCAAAGAUAAGGUCCAGCCACAGUAUCACUAUGUCACAUUGAUAUCAGGGCAUUUGAGGAAAAAUGGGUCCUUAGAAAGCUUUUUGCCCCCCUCCAUCUAGAGACUAAUGGUAUGCUCUACCCUGCAGAGACUAGGCCCAGACAGAAGGAUAUGCCACAGCAGGAGACAGGAUCCAGAAUGAGAAUAGACAAAAGACAUUUUCAAAAGUCCAGGUUCACAGCUUGACAGAAGCCUUCACACAGAAAGAGCCAUUGCACAUUGGACAGAUGAUCCCAGAAUGGAAGUUUCCAGAGGAAAUAACAGUCAAUAAACAGAAGG
rnacentral:lncRNA from 1 species